UAUAUCAUGCCACAAGAUGGCAGCGUUCUCAGACAUUCACUAGGAACUGCAGCAAUGAACAACAGAAUUGAACUUACAGAACAUAAUGUUAUAAUGUUCUCAGAGAGGAGGGACUCAGAGUUCACAGAUCUGACAUGAUCUAAUCGUGUCUGAAAGAGACUGUGGAUGAAACGAUUCAGUCUGACUCUUCUCAGAGUGAACACUUGAACAAUGAAUCUUCAUUCAGUUAUUCUGCUCUGUGUCUCAGUAGCUGCUGUAUUUGGAAAUGUCAUCAAGGCAAACAACACAUGUGUUGUUUCUGAGGAGGGUUCAAGUGUUACAUUACCCUGCAGUCUUUCCCCUGGAGCUUCAGAUGAUCUCCUCUGGUACCGUCAGUAUGGAAGAUCAAAACCUGAAUUUCUUGUACUCACAUUUGGAAAUUCAAAAAAAGAUGAGGUGUCUGAUGUAGAUCCAAGAUUCUCAGUUAAAGUUGAAAAAAAGGAACAAAUCCACAUGGAUCUGAUCAUCUCCUCUGCUGCAGUAUCAGACUCUGCUCUGUAUUACUGUGCUCUGACGCCCACAGUCACAGGAAACACAAGAACACUGUACAAAAACCUGUUACAAUGAGAGAAACACAGAGACAGAGAUGAACACAGAUAGAAAGAAACUGUAACUGACAAUUACAGUAUUAUGUCAGAAAGUAAUAGAACCAAUGAGGCUAAAUCACAGGUA